GUAGGGGACGAGCGUUGUCCGGAUUCAUUGGGCGUAAAGCGCGCGUAGGCGGCUCGGAAAGUCGGUUGUGAAAGGCCGGGGCUCAACCCCGGGACUGCGUCCGAUACUUCCGAGCUGGAGGCAGGUAGGGGAGAUCGGAAUUCCUGGUGUAGCGGUGAAAUGCGCAGAUAUCAGGAGGAACACCGGUGGCGAAGGCGGAUCUCUGGGCCUUGCCUGACGCUGAGGCGCGAAAGCUAGGGGAGCGAACAGGAUUAGAUACCCUGGUAGUCCUAGCCGUAAACGUUGGGUGCUAGGUGUGGGCGGAUAUCGACCCCGUCCGUGCCGAAGCUAACGCAUUAAGCACCCCGCCUGGGGAGUACGGCCGCAAGGCUAAA
rnacentral:rRNA from 1 species